rnacentral:rRNA from 1 species
AACGAACGCUGGCGGCAUGCCUAACACAUGCAAGUCGAACGAGAUCUUCGGGUCUAGUGGCGCACGGGUGCGUAACGCGUGGGAAUCUGCCCUUUGGUUCGGAAUCACAGUUGGAAACGACUGCUAAUACCGGAUGAUGACGAAAGUCCAAAGAUUUAUCGCCAGAGGAUGAGCCCGCGUAGGAUUAGCUAGUUGGUGUGGUAAAGGCGCACCAAGGCGACGAUCCUUAGCUGGUCUGAGAGGAUGAUCAGCCACACUGGGACUGAGACACGGCCCAGACUCCUACGGGAGGCAGCAGUGGGGAAUAUUGGACAAUGGGCGAAAGCCUGAUCCAGCAAUGCCGCGUGAGUGAUGAAGGCCUUAGGGUUGUACAGCUCUUUUACCCGGGAUGAUAAUGACAGUACCGGAAGAAUAAGCUCCGGCUAACUCCGUGCCAGCAGCCGCCGUAA